UGUUCAGCUACUGACGGGGUGGUGCGUAACGGCAAAAGCACCCCGGCGAUGUCCGAAUGGGGAAACCCAGUGCAAUUCGUUGCACUAUCGUUAACUGAAUACAUAGGUUAACGAGGCGAACCGGGGGAACUGAAACAUCUAAGUACCCCGAGGAAAAGAAAUCAACCGAGAUUCCCCCAGUAGCGGCGAGCGAACGGGGAGCAGCCCAGAGUCUGAAUCAGCUUGUGUGUUAGUGGAACGGUCUGGAAAGUCCGACGGUACAGGGUGAUAGUCCCGUACACCAAAAUGCACAGGUUGUGAACUCGAAGAGUAGGGCGGGACACGUGGUAUCCUGUCUGAAUAUGGGGGGACCAUCCUCCAAGGCUAAAUACUCCUGACUGACCGAUAGUGAACCAGUACCGUGAGGGAAAGGCGAAAAGAACCCCGGCGAGGGGAGUGAAAAAGAACCUGAAACCGUGUACGUACAAGCAGUGGGAGCACCUUCGGGUGUGACUGCGUACCUUUUGUAUAAUGGGUCAGCGACUUAUAUUCUGUAGCAAGGUUAACCGUAUAGGGGAGCCGCAGGGAAACCGAGUCUUAACUGGGCGUUAAGUUGCAGGGUAUAGACCCGAAACCCGGUGAUCUAGCCAUGGGCAGGUUGAAGGUUGGGUAACACUAACUGGAGGACCGAACCGACUAAUGUUGAAAAAUUAGCGGAUGACUUGUGGCUGGGGGUGAAAGGCCAAUCAAACCGGGAGAUAGCUGGUUCUCCCCGAAAGCUAUUUAGGUAGCGCCUCGUGAACUCAUCUUCGGGGGUAGAGCACUGUUUCGGCUAGGGGGUCAUCCCGACUUACCAACCCGAUGCAAACUACGAAUACCGAAGAAUGUUAUCACGGGAGACACACGGCGGGUGCUAACGUCCGUCGUGAAGAGGGAAACAACCCAGACCGCCAGCUAAGGUCCCAAAGUCAUGGUUAAGUGGGAAACGAUGUGGGAAGGCACAGACAGCCAGGAUGUUGGCUUAGAAGCAGCCAUCAUUUAAAGAAAGCGUAAUAGCUCACUGGUCGAGUCGGCCUGCGCGGAAGAUGUAACGGGGCUAAACCAUGCACCGAAGCUGCGGCAGCGACACGAUGUGUUGUUGGGUAGGGGAGCGUUCUGUAAGCCUGCGAAGGUGACCUGUGAGGGUUGCUGGAGGUAUCAGAAGUGCGAAUGCUGACAUAAGUAACGAUAAAGCGGGUGAAAAGCCCGCUCGCCGGAAGACCAAGGGUUCCUGUCCAACGUUAAUCGGGGCAGGGUGAGUCGACCCCUAAGGCGAGGCCGAAAGGCGUAGUCGAUGGGAAACAGGUUAAUAUUCCUGUACUUGGUGUUACUGCGAAGGGGGGACGGAGAAGGCUAUGUUAGCCGGGCGACGGUUGUCCCGGUUUAAGCAUGUAGGCUGGUUAUCCAGGCAAAUCCGGAUAAUCAAGGCUGAGGUGUGAUGACGAGGCACUACGGUGCUGAAGUAACAAAUGCCCUGCUUCCAGGAAAAGCCUCUAAGCAUCAGGUAACAUCAAAUCGUACCCCAAACCGACACAGGUGGUCAGGUAGAGAAUACCAAGGCGCUUGAGAGAACUCGGGUGAAGGAACUAGGCAAAAUGGUGCCGUAACUUCGGGAGAAGGCACGCUGGUGUGUAGGUGAAGCCCCUGCGGGUGGAGCUGAGACCAGUCGAAGAUACCAGCUGGCUGCAACUGUUUAUUAAAAACACAGCACUGUGCAAACACGAAAGUGGACGUAUACGGUGUGACGCCUGCCCGGUGCCGGAAGGUUAAUUGAUGGGGUUAUCCGUAAGGAGAAGCUCUUGAUCGAAGCCCCGGUAAACGGCGGCCGUAACUAUAACGGUCCUAAGGUAGCGAAAUUCCUUGUCGGGUAAGUUCCGACCUGCACGAAUGGCGUAAUGAUGGCCAGGCUGUCUCCACCCGAGACUCAGUGAAAUUGAACUCGCUGUGAAGAUGCAGUGUACCCGCGGCAAGACGGAAAGACCCCGUGAACCUUUACUAUAGCUUGACACUGAACAUUGAGCCUUGAUGUGUAGGAUAGGUGGGAGGCUUUGAAGCGUGGACGCCAGUCUGCGUGGAGCCAACCUUGAAAUACCACCCUUUAAUGUUUGAUGUUCUAACGUUGGCCCCUGACCGGGGUUGCGGACAGUGUCUGGUGGGUAGUUUGACUGGGGCGGUCUCCUCCCAAAGCGUAACGGAGGAGCACGAAGGUUAGCUAAUCCUGGUCGGACAUCAGGAGGUUAGUGCAAUGGCAUAAGCUAGCUUGACUGCGAGCGUGACGGCGCGAGCAGGUGCGAAAGCAGGUCAUAGUGAUCCGGUGGUUCUGAAUGGAAGGGCCAUCGCUCAACGGAUAAAAGGUACUCCGGGGAUAACAGGCUGAUACCGCCCAAGAGUUCAUAUCGACGGCGGUGUUUGGCACCUCGAUGUCGGCUCAUCACAUCCUGGGGCUGAAGUAGGUCCCAAGGGUAUGGCUGUUCGCCAUUUAAAGUGGUACGCGAGCUGGGUUUAGAACGUCGUGAGACAGUUCGGUCCCUAUCUGCCGUGGGCGCUGGAGAAUUGAGGGGGGCUGCUCCUAGUACGAGAGGACCGGAGUGGACGCAUCACUGGUGUUCGGGUUGUCAUGCCAAUGGCACUGCCCGGUAGCUAAAUGCGGAAGAGAUAAGUGCUGAAAGCAUCUAAGCACGAAACUUGCCCCGAGAUGAGUUCUCCCUGAGACUUUAAGUCUCCUGAAGGAACGUUAAAGACGAUGACGUUGAUAGGCCGGGUGUGUAAGCGCAGCGAUGCGUUGAGCUAACCGGUACUAAUGAACCGUGAGGCUUAACCUU
rnacentral:rRNA from 1 species